UACAACGCACUACCUGUUCAUUGUAGUCGUUGCUGUCAACAGCACACUGCUCACCAUCAACGAAGGGGACUACAUCUUCUACAAAGACUGGGCGUGGACGUCCUUCGUUGUGUUCUCGGUGGCGCAGGUGACGUUGACUGAAGUAGGCGCAAUAUAAUACAUGUUAGUCACAGGUGUUCCAGGGCCUGCAACCUAUUACGCCACGAUCAUUCCCAGACACACAUGGUUGGCAAGGGUAUAAUGGUAGUCAUUGUGGUUCUCCGGUAUCUUUCUCGAGCUACAAGCCGGAACAAUCCCGCUGCCAUACUGAUUGGCGGUACGCUGGUUGGCCUAUCCGUCCCUCAAUUCAACAUGAUCAACCUGGUGCUUGUAAGGGACCCACUCGAGAUACCCUUCAAAUAUCCGGGACCACCUCUGCCCGCGUUCAUGACUCCUAUAGAGCAUCAGGUAGGUAAGUUCUACAACUCGCCUGUCGCCCUGGGUUCAGGUGCCGGUGCAGUGCUAACAGUGACCAUCGCAGCGUUAGGUGCAAAACUAAACACGUGG
rnacentral:rRNA from 1 species